UACGAAGGGUGCAAGCGUUAAUCGGAAUUACUGGGCGUAAAGGGUGCGUAGGCGGUUGUUUAAGUCUGUCGUGAAAUCCCCGGGCUCAACCUGGGAAUGGCGAUGGAUACUGGGCAGCUAGAGUGUGUCAGAGGAUGGUGGAAUUCCCGGUGUAGCGGUGAAAUGCGUAGAGAUCGGGAGGAACAUCAGUGGCGAAGGCGGCCAUCUGGGACAACACUGACGCUGAAGCACGAAAGCGUGGGUAGCAAACAGG
rnacentral:rRNA from 1 species